rnacentral:rRNA from 1 species
UGGCAACGGGUGAGUAACACGUGGGUAAUCUGCCCUGCACUCUGGGAUAAGCCUGGGAAACUGGGUCUAAUACUGGAUAUGACCUUUCUCCUUAUGGGGUUUGGUGGAAAGUUUUUCGGUGUAGGAUGAGCCCGCGGCCUAUCAGCUUGUUGGUGGGGUGAUGGCCUACCAAGGCGACGACGGGUAGCCGGCCUGAGAGGGUGAUCGGCCACAUUGGGACUGAGAUACGGCCCAG